UUUAUCCGUAGCUAAGUCUUGU
rnacentral:snRNA from 1 species